rnacentral:rRNA from 1 species
AUGAACGCUGGCGGCGUGCCUAAUACAUGCAAGUCGAGCGAACGGACGAGAAGCUUGCUUCUCUGAUGUUAGCGGCGGACGGGUGAGUAACACGUGGAUAACCUACCUAUAAGACUGGGAUAACUUCGGGAAACCGUAGCUAAUACCGGAUAAUAUUUUGAACCGCAUGGUUCAAAAGUGAAAGACGGUCUUGCUGUCACUUAUAGAUGGAUCCGCGCUGCAUUAACUAGUUGGUAAGGUAACGGCUUACCAAGGCAACGAUGCAUAGCCGACCUGAGAGGGUGAUCGGCCACACUGGAACUGAGACACGGUCCAGACUCCUACGGGAGGCAGCAGUAGGGAAUCUUCCGCAAUGGGCGAAAGCCUGACGGAGCAACGCCGCGUGAGUGACGAAGGUCUUCGGAUCGUAAAACUCUGUUAUUAGGGAAGAACAUAUGUGUAAGUAACUGUGCACAUCUUGACGGUACCUAAUCAGAAAGCCACGGCUAACUACGUG